rnacentral:rRNA from 1 species
UAGGGAAUCUUCGGCAAUGGACGAAAGUCUGACCGAGCAACGCCGCGUGAGUGAAGAAGGUUUUCGGAUCGUAAAACUCUGUUGUUAGAGAAGAACAAGGACGUUAGUAACUGAACGUCCCCUGACGGUAUCUAACCAGAAAGCCACGGCUAACUACGUGCCAGCAGCCGCGGUAAUACGUAGGUGGCAAGCGUUGUCCGGAUUUAUUGGGCGUAAAGCGAGCGCAGGCGGUUUCUUAAGUCUGAUGUGAAAGCCCCCGGCUCAACCGGGGAGGGUCAUUGGAAACUGGGAGACUUGAGUGCAGAAGAGGAGAGUGGAAGUCCAUGUGUAGCGGUGAAAUGCGUAGAUAUAUGGAGGAACACCAGUGGCGAAGGCGGCUCUCUAGUCUGUAACUGACGCUGAAGCUCGAAAGCGUGGGGAGCAAACAGG